UAAACUGCACUCCACUAUCUGCAUUGUCCUUCUGAGUGAGUUUGUUUCCCAGAACGUGUGGCUACAACAUUUGGUGCGUUGGCCGGGAAACUCCUCACUUUGAGGAGACAAGUCCCAUUUGGGACUACUCCGAGGCCUUGUGGCUCAAAUCUUCUAGAGGGGGGAAGGCGCCUUGCCCUUCUGGAAGGAUUCUGCUUCUCAAUGCCCGGACCUUUCAUGUUAGCAGGUAGUGGACGGCAGCAGGGGAACUGAGUGCUCAGGUGAGGAGGAACCCACCCAGCAGGGUGGAAGAGGGGGCCUGAUCACCGCCCUGGGAGGGACUAGAAGGGGCACAAACCCACAGGAGCCUGGAAUAGGCAGGUGGCAAUGAUUGCUUGGUACACAGGUUGAUGAGUGUGUUAGGGCUUAGGAAGGAAGCUUGUGAAGGUCAUUUAGGAGGUGGUGUCCAUGCCAUCUUGGGGAAAAUUAUUACCAAGCAAUUGCCAGGGGAUUUUUAGGAGAAGAAACUUGGUUUCCGUGUGCUCGUAUUCUGCCCUCCCCAAGGAGGUGUCCCAUCUGCUAUGAAAUUCUUGACCCCCUCGGAAUUCUCAGGAUAGGAGGGGGAUACAUAAGUGAGUACGAAUUGGCUUUUCCAGAGAUGGCCUGGGACAUGGGAUAUUUAACCCAUCUGUAUUUUCAUCCGCACCCGAUCAAGCCCACCAAGGCAGAAUGGACUUUAAAAGUUAAGGGAGAAACAGUCUUGGAUCACGUGGUGUUCUGGUUUGGUUGUGCUGACCGGCAGGUGAAGACACGCCAAUCCCCCUUCUCCCUCUGGGAUCUGGCAGGAUUUGGACGGAAAUGACCUGACCCCUCCCCCAUACUGGAUAAUGACACACCUGCCUCCCAGUGCUCCACCAGGACCGGAGGCCACCUUAUUGCCCCAUCCAGGGCCAGGUGAAGUUCCUGCAGCAGCCACUGCUCUUCCACCAGCUCUCCCGGAGUUCGUAGAGCCGCCGUUUCGGCAGGCUCCAAUCCCAGCAAUGGAGACCUCUGGUCAAUGUCCCCAGAAUUCCACCUCAGCUGGACCUCCUAGAUUGUAUCCACCUCUCCCGUAACCCCUCAAGAUGAAGGGAGGUUGCACGAUCUCCCAGAAGGGAAACUGGACAAGCUCAAUGGUCAAGAGAGAGAGUUAACUCAACAAUUCCCUGAGGUCUGGGCAGAAGACAACCCCCCCAGGCUUGCAAAACAAGUCCCACUGGUAAUAAAACUCAAACCCAGUACAGUUACAUCAGCACCCGCCUUGAGCCUGCCAGACCUUGCUAAGCCAUUUACUCUUUACGUGACUGAAAAGGACAAGGUGGCUAUGGGAGUGUUGUCCCAGACUAUGGGGACAUGGGACAGACCUGUGACUUAGCUCUAAUCAGCUGGACAGUGUUGCCACUGGGUGGCUGGGAUGCUUACAGGCAGUUGCUGCAGUUGCCUUACUGGUCCAGGACGCAACCAAGCUGACUUUGGGCCAAGAUUUUUUCAUAAAAGUCCCACAUGAGGUCAACACUCUCCUGCAAGGGGACCCCCAUAAAUGGCUGUCAACAUCCCGGAUUACUCAAUACCAGGGACUGUUAUGUGAGAACCCCCAUGUUACUACUGAGCCUUGUCAGGCCCUGAAUCUGGCCACUCUCCUUCCUGUGGGAGAAGGUGGGCCCUCACAUGAUUGCAAGGAAAUAUGCCAGCAGACCUGACUUGAGAGACCAGCCAAUCCUGGACCCAGAUUCAGUCGUGUACACCAAUGGCACCAGCCUGGUGAAACAAGGACAAUGACUGUCGGGAUGUGCAGUAGUCACGGAAGAAACCAUCGUUGAGGCUCCCUUUCUGCCAUCACACUGCUCCACUCAAUAGGCCGAACUAUAUGCUCUAAUCCAGGCCCUCCAGCUGUCAAAAGGUAAGAAGACAAACCUUGACACAGACUCCAGGUAUGCUUUUGCCACACUACAGGGCUCUGUAUAAGGAGACAGGCCUUUGACAGCUAGUGAAAAAGAUAUUAAAAAUAAGGAAGAAAUUAAGACCCUAUUAGAUGCUGCCUGGGAACCAGAAAGGAUUGCAGUCAUACACUGCUGAGAACGUCAAAAAGAGGAUACCCCCUGGGCUCAGGGAACAGACUGGCAGAUAAGACCACUAAACAAGCAGCCGAGGGCUUGGGGGUAACAAGUGAAGCCCCUGUUAAAGCUUUCAUAUUGGUGGAGCUACCUGAGCUAACGCUAGACUCUCCAAAAUACACUGAAGCCCAAAACUAACUAGCCAAAGCAGAAGGGGCCAUCAAGACUGAAAAGGGAUGGUGGGAAUUGCCAAGUGGCAAAUUAUGGGUACCGGAGGAGCUGACACCCACUCUGGUAAGCCAAGCACACCAAGCGACCCAUCUAGGCCAUGAUAAACUGGAAGAGAUAAUUUGAAACUAUUUCUUGGUUCCCCGCCUCCCUUCCCUAUGCGGGACAAAAUCUCAGAACUGCACUGCCUGCUCACAGGCCAAUGCUGCCUCUUGGCACAGACAGAAACCUGCAGGGAUUCAGCUAAAAGGCACGCUGCCCUUUGAACACCUGGAAGUGGACUUCCCUGAAAUGAAACUUCACCGACACUACCAUUACCUGCCAGUCACAGUACGUACGUUCUCGGGAUGGGUAGAAGCUUUUCCUACCCGCACUGAAAGAGCAUCAAAAGUAGCCCGGUGCCUGCUUAGGGAGAUAGUUCCCAGAUUUGGAUUUCCUACCAGCAUUGGAUCGGACAAUGCCCCGGCUUUUGUAGCUGUUUUAGUAUAACAAGUAAGCAAAACUUUAAACAUCAAGUGGAAAUUACAUACAGCAUAUAAGCCCCAGAGUUCUGGGAUGGUGGAAGGAACCAGCCAGACACUUAAAAGAGACACUCUCCAAGUGGAUCGUAGAGACUGACGGUUCCUGGGUGGACUUGUUUCUGACGGCUCUGCUCAAACUCCGGAUGACCCCACAGUCCCAUGGCUCGUCUCCAUACAAGAUUGUGUAUGGGAGGCCCCCUCCCAUAAUAAAACAGGUGUCAACAAAUUUGCCUCAGGUAAGGGGAGAUGAGAUUUCACAGCAGAUGGAACAACUGGGUAAGGUAAUAAAUGAGGUAACUAAGUUUGUACAAGAAAGGGUGCCGUUCCCCCUUGGGGAACAGAUUCACGAAUUUGUGCCCAGGGAUCGGGUGUGGUCAAGGACUGGAAACACGACUCCUUGGCCCCUCGUGGGAAGGGUCCAUAUACUGUUGUUCUAACCAGUCCUA